rnacentral:rRNA from 1 species
ACAAUGGGCGCAAGCCUGAUGGAGCAACACCGCGUGAGUGAAGAAGGGUUUCGGCUCGUAAAGCUCCGUUGUUAAAGAAGAACACGUAUGAGAGUAACUGUUCAUACGUUGACGGUAUUUAACCAGAAAGUCACGGCUAACUACGUGCCAGCAGCCGCGGUAAUACGUAGGUGGCAAGCGUUAUCCGGAUUUAUUGGGCGUAAAGAGAGUGCAGGCGGUUUUCUAAGUCUGAUGUGAAAGCCUUCGGCUUAACCGGAGAAGUGCAUCGGAAACUGGAUAACUUGAGUGCAGAAGAGGGUAGUGGAACUCCAUGUGUAGCGGUGGAAUGCGUAGAUAUAUGGAAGAACACCAGUGGCGAAGGCGGCUACCUGGUCUGCAACUGACGCUGAGACUCGAAAGCAUGGGUAGCGAACAGGAUUAGAUACCCUGGUAG